GAAUUGGGCCUGGAAGCUUAAGGUCCUUGAGAAGAUGAAGUUCUUGGUUUGGUUAUUAUUCAAGUACUCUUCUUACCUUAGAACUAUGUUUUCGUCGGAACCAGACAAUUUUAGAUAUUUGUUAAUGUUGUAAUUUCUCACGGCGAAUCCACCAUGCAUUGUCUUAGGGACUGUACAUUAGCCAGUCAAGUUUGGCACUUGCUUGAUUUCUCAAGAUAUAAUUUCUUUCAUUUGCAGAAUCAUUGUGAGUGGAUUGCUACGAGCUAUAGUUUAGAUAAUGCUUGUACAUUUGUGGAGACUCUUUGGUGUAUUUGGAUGGCUCAAAAUGAGCAUGUUCUUAACAAUAAUCCUAGCUCUGCAACAAAUGUGAUGGCAAAUGUUGGUGGGUCCCCAACUAAGUGGAGUCCACAUAUUAUAAAACAAAAAGAAAAAUAAAAAUAAAUAAAGAAAAAGAGAAGUGGCCAAAUAGCCACGAAGAGAGAAUGGCAGGUAAGUCUUUCAUUUUUUGAAACAAAAGCAAACACAUAGAGAGGAGAGAGUUUUCAUCGGCGCCGAAGAAAAGAAGGAAUUUGGGGGAAAGGGCAAGCCAUCUUUGAUCCGAUUGAAACGGAAAGACUUGUAUGAUCCUGUGGAGGGGGAUAAAUCCAAAGGUACUAAAUCCGAUGCUGAAUGGAAGAUGCUAAAUCGGAAGGCAGUUACUUUGAUCAGGCAAUGGCUUGAUCUUAGCGUGUAUCCACAUGUUGACACUGAAACGAAUGCUGAGAAGAUGUGGAACAAAUUGAAGGAGUUAUAUGAGAGGAAGAAUGUGCAAAAUAAAGCAUUCUUGAUUAGGAAGCUGGUAAAUAUGAAGUAUAUUGAAGGAAAUAAGAAGAAAAAGAAGCAAAAAGCACAAAAUAAGCUAAAAAGGAGAAAAAAAAAUAGUUUUGGGGCACACUUUGAAGUUGGAGCACACUUUGGAGCCUUAGGUCACGCUUUUAAAAGCGUGGCCCAUGACCAAAUCAAGGAAGCUUGACAAUCAGCACGCAAAGCUCGGUUAAUGCCAAGAGCCUAGCUUUAUCGUGAUGCAAAUUCAGCUUGGAAGCAGGAAUUUUCGCUAAGUUAAACUUGGGCGCUCACAGCAUGACCAUGCCUCCUUCAAAGGGCCAUAACUUGGGCUAUAGAUGUCCAAUUGAUGUGUUUUCAGUUGCGUUGGAAAGCUGACAUUCAGAGCUUUCCAAUGAUAUAUGGAAAUUCAUAUUUGGCACAAAAUUGAGGUACAAGUGAAAGGCAUAUUUAAAGACCAAAAACAAGCAAAAAUGGGCACAAAUGCAUUCACCAAGAUUCGAAGAGGAAGACCAAGGGAAGCCCAUCAAAGUAGCGCUCACUUGGAGAGCUCAGUGCUCACUUAGAGAGCUUUGUCGUGCUCUCUUCAUGAAAAUGCAAGGAAAAUUGGUCACAAAAUGGCUCAGCAAGGAUUCGAACUUGGAGCUUCUUCACAAAGCAAAGGGAUGCUGCGCUCUUGGUGAGAGCUGAGCGCUACCCUGGUGAUGUUCAAAGCUUGUCAUGCACAUUGCAAGGCCAAAGCAAGGCUUGGAUGUUGCGCUCUCCCCAUGAACCGAGCCUUGUCCUAGGAGCAACACCCAUGGGCUAAAAAUUCAAUCAAAAUUCCAAAAUUAAUUCAAUUCUUUACUAAAUUGAAAGGCCAUCCGGAUCCAUUCUUCUUCAAAAUCCAAAGCAAGCUAAGCCCAUUAUCAUCACUCAAAGGCACAAGAGAUAGUUAAAA